AUGCUCGUCCCUGACCCUGGCCUCCUGGAUGCCACCCCUGCUCCGCUCCUCAGCACCGUCCGCUCGGGGUUCUAUCCCUGGCGCCUGCCUGUGAGCUCCAAAGGGGAGGACACCUGCCUGGCUCAGCUCGGAGCAGGUACCGGCGCACACCGCACCCUCCUGGCAGCAGGAAGCUCUGUGUCCCUGAAUACCCGGUGCUACCUGUACCCGACCUGUGUGCCCACGUGGCUGUGCUUACCUUGCUGUCAGAUAUUUUCUUUGCCUCCUUCCCGAGUCCUCGCUGGUGUUCCGAUCUGGCUUGGACGCCCCGGAGGCGCUCCCGGCGAUGCACUUCGGUCCUCCUUCUCCUGCUGUAACGCCGGCACACCGGUGAAUUACAAACUGCAGGAGCUCAUCUGGCCUGCAGAUCUGAGGACCGCCAAGUCCAGGAGCAUCAGGUGGGUUCCUCUUGAGGACCUUAUGUUGCAUGGGGUCGGGGGGUGCUUGGCAGUAGGGCAAAUGACCCUGUGCAACACAGAGAAAAUAGGGCCAAACCAGCCUUUGAAAUCCGGGAGCCAACUCCUGUGACAAGACUUCUCUUUUUAUUUUUAUAUGUUUAUCUACUUUUGCAGUGCUGGGGAUAGAACUCAGGGUUUUCGCAGUGAGCUACAUUCCCGGACCAUUUUUUCAUUUUAUACUUUGAGACAAGAUCUUGCUAAAUUGCCCAGACUGGGCUCCAACUUGUGAUCCUCCUGCCUCAGCCUCCCAGACGUGCACCACCACCACCAUCCCUACGGCAGGCGGCUCAAUUUCAACAUGAAUUUGGCAAUGUCCCCCGUGUGUGGGAAAACCGCUGGCCCAGCCGGCAGCAGAUGGAUCAGAGAGCAAGUCCUUCUCCCCGUUGCUGUACCACUGGGUCUAGGAGGUCAAAAAUCACAGUUUUUAGAAAGAGAAAGCGCACAGCGAUUGGAAUCAAAACACUAGGCCAGAUUUCUGACUUUCCCUUGUUAGCGGUGGGACUCCGAGCCACACACCCUUCCUGAACUGUGCUUCCCAGGUCCACGGAACAGUGGUGAAACACUGGGCACCUCGGCCAUCGUCGCUGGCGGAAAGGUGUCUGCGGGCCAAGGGACCCUUGCCUGGCCCAGCAAAAGACAUUCCAAAUGCAGAGUCUGUCUCCCGGAGCCAACGGGCCGGGCCCCCACCUGGAUCUGUUUGUACACGUGCUGAAGAGAGCAGCGCUAAGCACGGUGAUUACAGGCAGCUGAUCAAUUAGCCCGUGCUCAGGAACCUGAUCGCAGCAGUCAAUCGGUGAUUGCCAAUCUGCAUAUUUAUCCAGCAGCAUUAAUUAUGCAUCCCGCGGCAUCAGUCCCCAUGACACGCACGGUGCUUGCUGUGGAUCGGGCCGCCUGCCGGGCCUGUCAGGGUCGGGGGCGAGUGCGGGGGACCCACACGGCGGCAGCCAAUGGGCGUGGAGCUGAGCUGAGCUCGACCUCUGCAAUGACCGAGGGACCUGGGCCUGGGUUGGGGUCUUUCUUUAAAUCCCGGUCGCGAAGAGGUGGAUGGCAGACUUUAUCCAACCAGCGGGUGUGUUUUUCUGUCCUGAACAAUUGCGGUUUUAGAAAAUGACAUCAAGUAUUCCGAGUGGUUGUGUCAGUUGGCCGCAGUCCCCAGCCCUCCCUACUGCCUCCUGCGCCAUCUAAGGAGUUUCUGGCUGGGCUUCCUUGGGCGUCUGAAUUGGCAGCUCAAAGGUCAGGGUUUUCUCAGCCUUGUCUUUUUCAUUAGUGUCCGCCGAGGAGCUCUUUCCACAUCUGUCCCACUCACCCCCUCCCGCCAAUGGGACAUGCGGGGCAGACUCUGACCUGAGGUCUGUUUCCACGCCAGGCACGUCGGUGAGCCUUUCUGCCCCAGGAGCAGGCUGGGAACACACCUCUGGGCCCGGGCCUCUGGGGUCCCCGGGAAGAGUGGGGACAGGAGGGCCCGGCCCCAGGCCCAGGCCGUCGGUCCGUGCGAGCCCCCUCCACGUCCCAGUGAGCCGGGGCUCCUGCCCGCCGUCCAUCCUGGCUCCCGAAGCUCCGGGCCUCCACCUCCCUCCCUGUUCCCAGCCCUGCCCAGUGCCCUGAAGCACCCGCAAAUGCCCCAUCCUCAAGACCCAGGGCAUCCACAGCCACCUCUCUGGCCAGGCGGGUGCCGAGGUUUCAGUGGAAGCCUUCUGGGGAGGCUUCGUGAUGAGACCUGCAACUUGCAAGUGAGCAGAUGCCUGGAGGUGCAAGGGACCCACUUGGGGCUGUCCGGUGGGUCUGGAAGGACAAGACCCCCGAGCAAAGGUGGAGGCCAGUGCUUUUUGUCCACCCCGCUCACAAUGACAGCAAGUGCAGUCGCCCUGGUGUCACCUGGGCCUGGCACAGUGCCUGGCACGGAGGGGGAGCCCACGAAGAAUCCUGAUGUGAUGUGGGAAGACACAUUAAAACAGGAAGGGCUCUGACAAGUCCUGCGAUGUUAUACAGCAGAGAAAAGGAGCGAGCGAGCGAGAGCUCCUCACAGCAGCAUGGGUGGAUCUCAGCAUACAACCUGGAAGGCAAGGCACUGGACAGGGAAUACUAGUGGCAUGAUUCGUGUCAUCACUAUUAACAGUCCCUCUGUAUAAAACCUCAAAACAAGCCAGGCAUGGUAUGUAUCUCUGGAUCUAUCUACUAAGUGAGGCUGAGGCAGCGGGACCACUCAAAUCCUGGAAUUUGACACCAGUCUGGCGAACAUGGCAAGGCUCUAUCUCUGAAUAACUGCGUGCACAAAUAAGGAAAUAAGAGCUGGGGAUGUAGCUCAGUGCAAAGGCACUGGGGUCAAUCCGCAGUACCGCACCACCUGGAAAGAAGCACAGCACACAUAAUCAUGUACG
ensembl:lincRNA